UCGGUCCGGCAACGGAUAUCUCGGCUCUCGCAUCGAUGAAGAACGUAGCGAAAUGCGAUACUUGGUGUGAAUUGCAGAAUCCCGUGAACCAUCGAGUCUUUGAACGCAAGUUGCGCCCCAAGCCUUCUGGCCGAGGGCACGUCUGCCUGGGUGUCA
rnacentral:rRNA from 1 species